CUGAGAAUGAUCCCUGAUUGAGCGUGCUGUCAGAGACGGGAAUCUCACCUCGCUUACGGAGCCUGGUGCCAGGUACAUCUUGAUGAGGAACAUGAUGGGGAUCCAGAUCACAGAGCAGAUGACCAUCAGCCACCCCAGGAUCAUGGACCAGGUGGGGUCAACUUUGACUCCUCGAGUCAUGCUCCCUCCUCUGCUCAACCACCUGGAGAGCUGCAGGAGGAAUCAGUCGCAGCGGGAGCUGUGCGUGGAGAAUCGUGCUAAUUGGGUCAGGGCCUAUGCACUGUUUAUGCCUCCCUUCAAGGUGCCACUUAAGUGUUUACUCCAGACUAAUUGCGAGUCAAGAGACUCGGGUUUCUGACAGAAAUCAUGGAGCAUUACUCCAAAAGAUCAAUCAAACGCUUGAAAAGAAUAAAAACUUUUUUUCUGUCUAUUUCGCUUAAUCCCUGGUUCUCACACUAGUAGUUAACUUGUUGGAUUUUUUUUCUAGUGUCGGAUCUGCAUUACUUUGUUAUUUCCA